CAGCACCCCCUAACAGACCUCAUCUUCAGCCCCCAAAACUGACCUGUUGCAAAGGACAAACAAGUCAUGUGAAGAUGAGGACUGUUUGGUUAUUAUUUUGCGCUAAUCUGUCUGUGUUAUCCCUUGUCAUCUGCCCAGGGCAACAGCACUUCACUCAACUAUAUUCUGUACAAGUGUGUGCAGUUCAGUACCACUUAGGAGUCCAAGGUCCUCCUCAACUGCAUAAUGAAGACCAAACCCAGGCUCUCCUGCAUGAGGGGGUAGAUGCAUAUCCAAACCCUGUGGGUGCCUUCCCUGGUUCAGCUGGAUGUACACAGUUUAAUAUGGAUUACUGGAGAUCCACAAAUUCAACCAUCAAAUUAUAUUAGAGUUUCAUUAUUGUCUUCUCUUAAGUUUCUUUAUAAAAUAAAAAUAAAAUCUUUCAACCUUCUGG
rnacentral:lncRNA from 1 species